GACGAACGCUAGCGGCGUGCUUAACACAUGCAAGUCGAACGGUGAAGCGCCUUCCUUUUUGGUGGGUGUGGAUGAGUGGCGAACGGGUGAGUAACACGUGAGUAACCUGCCCCCUUCUUCUGGAUAACCGCAUGAAAGUGUGGCUAAUACGGGAUAUUCUGGGUCUGUCGCAUGAUGGGUCUGGGAAAGAUAUUGUUUCGGUGGGGGAUGGGCUCGCGGCCUAUCAGCUUGUUGGUGGGGUGAUGGCCUACCAAGGCGGUGACGGGUAGCCGGCCUGAGAGGGUGGACGGUCACACUGGGACUGAGACACGGCCCAGACUCCUACGGGAGGCAGCAGUGGGGAAUAGUGCACAAUGGGCGCAAGCCUGAUGCAGCGACGCCGCGUGAGGGAUGGAGGCCUUCGGGUUGUGAACCUCUUUCGCCAGUGAAGCAGGCCUGCCUCGUUUGUGGGUGGGUUGACGGUAGCUGGAUAAGAAGCGCCGGCUAACUACGUG
rnacentral:rRNA from 1 species